GAGAGAGACACACACACACACACAAUUUUGCAUACAAAUGACAUACAAUGCGGCUAAUUUACAGCGAUGAUGAACAGAAUAAAGUAUCAGAACUCAGAUCCCGAGCUAACUGAAGAAGGUGCUCUAUGCUGAUAUCAGGGUAGUGCUGCAAAAGCCUCAAGUUAGCAGCAAAAUCCCCACUUAACAGCCUGCUCUUCACACAUAGCAACAUUGCACAACAGAUCCGUAAAAGCAUAUCCUGCAACAAAAAAAAAAAAGAAAAAAUUUGUUUCCCAUUAAUUAUAAUUCAUCUGGAUCACCUCAAGAUAACUUUAGAAUGAGCAACAGUGUCGGAUACUUCUAGUCCAGUCAAUGAUUGUGUGUAUGUGUGAGAGAAAGAGAGACCUGAACGCCAGAAGGAUUACUCAGAAGUGAAUCCCAAAUUCUUAAGAUGGACUGGAAGUUGAAUUCUUGAGUAAGUAGUAAUGUGAUCCACCUGAACGCAUAGAAUUGCGGCUUAACCUUGGUUGUCAACUCAAGAUGCCGCCACAAUUCCUCAUCAUUUUCUUUCAGUAAGUCUGUCAAUCGCGAAAGGGUGGAUAGGAUACCAACUGGACUAGUAUCCAACAGUGGACAAAAGUGAUCCAUUGAAUCACUCAGCAGUCGAACAAAACAGGAAAAACUAUCUGCUUCUGCAUUUGCAGCAUUCUGCUGGUCAGUGUCAGUACUAAAUACAUAGAAUAUUGGUGCCAAGACUUCAUUCAUGCCUUGAACAUAACGAAUAGCAGGAUUUAGUUUUGCAAAAAGGAGAAGAAUAUUCCUCAUAGCAUCCUGCAGUUGAAAAUACCUCAUAAAUUUAGUCUAGGAGAACCCAAUUUUGUAUCCUUGUUGUUACUACUACUGCAAUUUGGCAUAGAAUUUUGAAUUUCAUCUGGCAGCUUAAAAAACAAGGAGAUAGAGAAGCUGCCACAAAAGAAACUAAGAACUUCUGGUAUGCCUUUCAGCUUGAGCAAAUAAUCGUUACCAGCUGAUAGAAAUAAAAUAGAGGAGAAAAAUAAUGGGAGAACAAGUAUACCCUGUUUUUCCGACUGAAUGACGAGUCCCCUGAAAAGAAUUUAAUGUUACGCUGCAAAUCACGCUCAAUCUGAUCUGCAAUCUCUGUAUGCUGAAAGUACUGAUGCCAAGCACUACUCUUACCAACACUCAAGGGGUGAUCUUCAUGAGAAACCCCAUGUCUCUUAAGUGGUCCAGCAACAUCACCUUCAGCAUUCAGCUCAUCAGAAUUCAAUGCAUCAUCAUUUACCCUAUUGACCUCUGACUGUCUAAAUUCAAGAUUUUGGUUAGUGCAUGGAAAUGAUUAAAGCACCAACCAAAAGGCACCUGAUUGAAUAUGUGCUGUAAGAAAUGAAUCUGCAACUAAAAUUCAGAAAUCAGCUAAUAUGUGAAUAGGGCAUAGCAGUCAGCAACUUACAGGACUACAUAGAAGUUCCUCUUUUAGCUUGGCAUAUUUUUGUCUAUUCCCAGUCAGUUCCUUUUCCCACAAGUCACGGGAAGGAGACAAAUAACCUAAGAGAAGCUUCCAAGUUGCUGCGCGCAAACCUCCUCCCUCAGGGAUACCUGUAUUAGCAAUUCUCCUCAACUUUUCUAAAUUUAUUUCCUUCUGAGAAAGCUCAUGUUCAAGAUCAGACCUUUUCUCGUCGGCGGCAAUAACCUCCAUCACCGAAACCUGUCCCGGUCCAUCUUUUAAGGAUCUUUUCGGGGCCUUAGCAUCCUCUUUAUCCAUCAUUUUGUCAUUAAUGCCAAAAUCAUCAUCGAAUUCACAUUGGAAUUCAUAGUCACUUUCCUUAGCCACCUCGGCCCCAUUGGGCUGAAUAAACUCGAGCUCCUCUCCGGACUGAAAAACCAGGUCGUACCCUCCACUUUCAUCUUCUCCCUUAUCAUCAAGACCCGCGAUUAAGCUUCCAAGAGGGAAGACGCGGCGAGCUUUGUCAGGGAGCUUGAACUUGCCUUUGAGCAUGGUGAGCGAGGUGGGAUGAGUCAGUGGAGUUGAAUCGGUUGAGUUGGACUUGUGGGUAUGCCUGGUUUUUACAUGGGAGUGUUUUGAGAGAAAUGAUAAAGAGAGUAGAGAAUCUGUAAGAGGGUCAUGACUCAGGCUUAAGAGGGUUGGGAAAUCGAUGUUUCUCUUCUGAGGAAGAGUGGUAGUUAUUCACGGUUGAAUGGCAGUUGGUACAGGAGACUAGGCUUUCGGGAGCGGCCCUUCUGUUCUUGAACAAGAAGAAGCAGGAUAUCGGUUGUCCUAAUCCAAAUCGUAGCCCAACU
rnacentral:misc_RNA from 1 species